rnacentral:rRNA from 1 species
GACGAACGCUGGCGGCGUGCUUAACACAUGCAAGUCGAGCGGUAAGGCCCUUUCGGGGGUACACGAGCGGCGAACGGGUGAGUAACACGUGGGUGACCUGCCCUCAGCUCUGGGAUAAGCCUGGGAAACCGGGUCUAAUACUGGAUAUGACUCCAUGACGCAUGUUGUGGGGUGGAAAGCCUUGUGCGGCUGAGGAUGGGCCCGCGGCCUAUCAGCUUGUUGGUGGGGUGANGGCCUACCAAGGCAAAGAUGGCUAGCUGGUCUGAGAGGAUGGCCAGCCACACUGGGACUGAGACACGGCCCAGACUCCUACGGGAGGCAGCAGUGGGGAAUAUUGCGCAAUGGGCGAAAGCCUGACGCAGCGACGCCGCGUGGGUGAUGAAGGCCUCGGUCGGUAA